ensembl:lncRNA
AAGGCUCUGCCUUGGCCGGGAGUUUGCUUUGGCUUGUGGGCAGUGUUCCCACCAUCUCAUCUCCAUGGACUUCUGUGCCUCAAAAAAGAAACUUCUUACUGUCCUUUGAGACAGGUUGUUUUAAGGGUGCAUUUGUCUGGAGAGUGGAAGAGGCAUCUGGGAGCAGGGACUUUCAGUGGUCUAAGCCGGCUGUCUGGCAGUGGUAGGUCAUUAGCCCACUGCUAACCAUGUUUUCCUUGUGUUUGAUCAAUGCAGGCGUUUACUUUGGUUGCACCACAGGAACAGUACGUGAGUGGGUAAAAGAUUGUUUAGAAUGGCUUCUUUAGUCUCACAUGGCCUUUUUUGCUGAUACAAAGUGCAGACAAAGGAGAAAGUCCUCCGAAGGGUUACUGCUUCCUUCAGCUCCCACCUGAAGCUUCUCCAGCAGAUUUGGGCUGCUGUUGAGCUGAUGGCUGUGGAUGGAGAACACCAAACAAGGGCAGAAGCGAAUCCCUAGCAAGGAUGUCGUGCAUGAUUCACCCUUUUGUUCUGAUGCUGGGCAUCAUUGUGCUCUAUGCGUGGCUGGCAAAGCAGGUAAGUGUGCCCAUCUGCACAUCAAGACCUUCCUAUCCUACCCGUGGCCAUUUGGUUGCUGCCCAUCAUGCUCAAAAUAGAGCUGUCUCUUAGGGAACUCCCCUUCCUCCAGCUUCCAGUGCUGGCCUGCAGAGUGGAGAUAGUGUUUGCAUCUGGUACGGAGCCCUUUGCUGCCUGCAGAUAUCCUGGAUAUCGGACACAGCUGUUUGGACAGUUCUCUGAGUCAUUAAUCCAGGCAUUUGAAUUCCCAUCUCCUGUUGACGUGCUGUGGUGGAGGCUGCCAGAUCCUGCACACGUUCUCUCUGCCCCUCACUCUGUCUCGCAGGUGAGCGACGGUGGGGCACAACAGCUCAAAUUCCACCUCUCCAUCCCAUUACACCGCUGCUCACCUGCUCGGGAGAUGGUGGAAAGGACUCAUGUCUGAAACACCGUGAAGGGCAAGACCAUCCCCAGGGUCUCCAUCUUCCCCAACCAACACAAAGUGAUUAUUCAAGCCUGCCUCUCUCUCUCGUGAAUAGUUCUGAUAUCAUGUUUUUUGAGCACAAUAUCAUCGGAGCUGCUUUGCCACUUGAGCCCUGGAUCCCUGCUCCCUGUCAUUUCGUUUUUGCCUCUCCUGGCUUGAUUAUUGAUGAGAGCAAUUUGCAGUACGUGCUGCUUUAUUCGGUAGGAACAAGCUAGGUGUACGAAAGAGAAAAGUAUUCCCAUCCUCUUUGCAGGAAAUUGAGCAAUGUGCUUCCAAAUCUCUGCACACGUGUGCUGUCAUUGAUUCAUGUUUCUGCGGACAACUGUCAUUUGCAUACAAACGACUGUGGUUCUUCCAGGCUUCGCUACACCUCGGUCUGCAGCUGGGCUUCAUGUUCAUGCUAUGGAACAUGUUCCUAAUCUGUAUCUGUCACUGCUACUUAAUGAAAAAGCUAAACAUUGCUUCUCUUGCAGCCUUCUCUAAUGGUUUAAUUUUAAUUGGCCUGUUGCUGGCUGAUUUUCUGUUUAGGCUAUGAUAAAUAAAAGUUAAACAGUCAGAACA